rnacentral:rRNA from 1 species
CCUACGGGAGGCAGCAGUGGGGAAUAUUGGGCAAUGGGCGCAAGCCUGACCCAGCAACGCCGCGUGAAGGAAGAAGGCUUUCGGGUUGUACACUUCUUUUCUGAGGGACGAAGCAAGUGACGGUACCUGAGGAAUAAGCCACGGCUAAAUACGUGCCAGCAGCCGCGGUAAUACGUAGGUGGCAAGCGUUAUCCGGAUUUACUGGGUGUAAAGGGCGGGUAGGCGGGACUGCAAGUCAGAUGUGAAAACCACGGGCUCAACCUGUGGCCUGCAUUUGAAACGGUAGUGAUUGAGUGCUGGAGAGGCAGUCGGAAUUCCUAGUGUAGCGGUGAAAUGCGUAGAUAUAAGGAGGAACACCAGUGGCGAAGGCGGUCUGCUGGACAGCAACUGACGCUGAGGCGCGAAAGCGUGGGGAGCAAACAGGAUUAGAUACCCGGGUAGUC